rnacentral:rRNA from 1 species
AUUGAACGCUGGCGGCAGGCCUAACACAUGCAAGUCGAGCGAGAGGCGGACGGGUGAGUAAUGUGUGGGAAACUGCCUGCAGGAGGGGGAUAACUACUGGAAACGGUAGCUAAUACCGCACACCAUCAGAUGUGCCCAGAUGGGAUUAGAUAGUAGGUGGGGUAAUGGCUCACCUAGGCGACGAUCCCUAGCUGGUCUGAGAGGAUGACCAGCCACACGGGAACUGAGACACGGUCCAGACUCCUACGGGAGGCAGCAGUGGGGAAUAUUGCACAAUGGGCGCAACCCUGAUGCAGCCAUGCCGCGUGUGUGAAGAAGGCCUUCGGGUUGUAAAGCACUUUCAGCGAGGAGGCGUUACUCGCAGAAGAAGCACCGGCUAACUCCGUGCCAGCAGCCGCGGUAAUAC